rnacentral:lncRNA from 1 species
UCUCUUUUAUGUAUUUCCUGGGAUCGUUUCCCAAAACUACUUGGAUUCUUGUCUCCGGGUUGGCUUCUGGAGGACUCUAAAACCAUAACUGCUCUUAUCACUACAGCUGACUUCUUUGAAACCAUGAAAAUACUGCUUUAUUUGCAUUCGUCUUCUGCUAGUUAGAGUCUACCUUCAUAAAACCUAAAAUCCAACAAAAAAUUAAGACCAAAAUACAAAUAUUUCUCACAGUACCUCUCACAUAGAAGUUACUCAAUCUGUAUUUAGAGAGCAAAGAAUAAUGGGAGAUCAAAAGAUUACUCUGUGACUAUAAAAAUAGAGCGAGGACUAUUGAUUGGUUACUAAGAAUAUUUUACAAACUUUUAUGGUUUGACACACCCUUUUAAUGGUGGUAUGUCUACCUAAUAUAUCUGCACCUUCCCAAAAUCCCCUCCCCUCGAUGUCAGCAUCAGGACUCCCCUCCUCCUCUAGCUAGAUUUGAGAGACACUUGCCAUUAUCUCAUCAUUAUUUUAUCAUGUUAAUGUACUUGUGUAACCUUUUAUAUUUUCUAAAUAUGAAAAAUAUUUUACAGAGAUUACAUUUGACGCAGCUGCUUCCUGAAGACCUAGAGAUCACUUUAAUCUUACAAGCACAUUCUUCAGAUUGUCGUGUGGGUGGGUAACUUCCGCCAGACUUUUCUGGAGAUGGCUAAUCCAGCCGUGGGAUGUGGUUUCUUCUAACAGCCAGUCAGGAAAAUCUUGCUUCUCAAACUCCUGUCUUGACCCCUUCCUGAACUUUGCCUCCUGGAUCUUGAGGUCUGCCUUCUGUGGAAGAGAAAUACUAGAAUCAAUGAACUGUGAACUAGAGCCCUGGGAUUAUCAACAGCCAGCUGAAAUUUUGAGAGCCACCUUAUAGAAAGCCUAACAGCAAAGACUGGAGAGAGGCUUCCAGCCAACAGCCAGCAAGGAAUUGAAGCCCUCAGUCCAAUAGCAGUGAGGAAUUGAAUCCUGCCAACAGCCUCGUGGAUGGGUUGCUUGCUGCCUGAAUCUAACUCCUGCUACUACUGCAAAUACCACUGCCAUGAAUAUCCUCAGCAAGACCCCCUUCCAGACCUGCAUGAACAACCGACUGCUUCAUGCUGGGCUUCAGACAUGAGAGGCUAGGAGUAGGAGGCAUGCCUUGUUCAAAGGUCUUAAAUGUGGGAAAUAGUCUACAGUUUGGAAGACACCAGAGAAAAAUGCUCCACAGCUCGCCCUGGUGACUCACUACAACUUAUGGGAAGAUGUGAGAUUAUUCUGUAUUCUAAUGUAUGUUAGAAGGCACACUCCACCCAAAGCCUUCCUGUGUGUUCCUCCCUGUGAGCUCACAUCCCGUUCACCAGCUGACUGGGAAGGGAAGUCAGGACCAGCCCUGACCCCAUCACACCAUCAUAACCUCGGGAUGGCAGGGCUGGAAGGCACCUCAGACGUCAUCCUUUGCAGACUCUUCAUUUUACAGUGAGAGGCAUGACGUGUCCACAGCUGGUUAGUGCCAAAGCCUGGGACAGGCUUCACAUUGUCCAGCUCUUAGUCAGAGCACUGUUGACAAUGUCUGCCUUCACUUGGAAUUCAGCACCUGCUUUCAGUAUAAACCCCUGCAUUUCACUAAAACUGAGCAGACUGCUGGUUUAAAAAAGAGAGGUCCAUCCAGCAGGGAUGAUGCUUUUCCUCGUUGAAAGAGGACAUUCACCUAAUGGGAGACCUGGAGUCAGAAUCUUUCUGAUGUGUGACUUGGCACAGUAACACAAUGCAGGAUGCUGGUGUGUUAAUAAAAAUAAAAAUUGCAUCGCCUACCUCAGAGUCGACAACAAUGUCAAGGAGUUAAUAGUCUUGGCAACACAGAGGCCACUGGACAGAGGCAUAACCUUGCGUGGCAGCUGCACGGGAAUUGGAUUUGGCUCAGGUGUUUCAGAUGACUAAGAACAAAGGGGACCACUCUUGGUAUAGAAGUUCAUCUCGUCGGGAGCAUCUGUGGUUCUUUUAUAAGCAAUGUACAUUCUACAAUAGAGGCAGACCCAGAAAUAAUUCAGAUAUUGGAGUUAGAAGAUCAGGAUUCUAAAAAAACCAAAAGAUCCUGCCUUACUAUGCACCUAUGGCCCUUCAAAGGCGAGAGUAGAAUCUGCUAUGAUUUAGAAGCAAGCAAUAAAAAGUACACAUCAGGUGAGUGGAUGCUAGCUAAGACCUUGGGCUUUGGGGUCAGACAGGCCUGGGUUUAAAUCCUGGCCCUGUCAUUCUGGGGAAACAUGUUUCUGCUUUCUCCUAUAUGAAAUAGAGGCAGUGGGUAUCCUGAACAUGUCACCUUUACUUGUCCAGCUUGUCAGUUAGGGUUUGGUUAGGGAAACAGAGCUGCUGUAAACAUUAUGGGAAUAAGGGAUUUUAUUCAGAAUUGGAGCCUGCACAGAUGUAGAAGGAGGCAUGAAGAGGGUAUUGGAGGAUUGCCCACUAUGCAGUCUGCAUCCUGAGUCUGUGGUGAGGCUGGACACGUUCAAGCUUACAGGAGAACUGGAGAAAGCAAGCAACACAGCGGUGGAAGUGAGACCACUGAAGGUAAGCUUGGGAGGGGGUCCCGACACCACCACAUCAGUGGAUCCACAGCUAAGUGAUUGGUGGUGGCCUGGGGUUCUGCUGUUUAGCAGGGACAAGAGUGGAGGAGACAAACUGGACUCGGAACAAACUGGGAGCCUCUGCAUCCAUCCGUAACUGUCUGGCCGUGACAGUGGUUAGAGAGGAGUGGCUUCUGUGAAACUCUCACAAUCUCAAAUCUCCCACAAGUGCCUCUUUCAGCUAACUCUAAACUGGUACCAUAGAGGAAAUGGAUUCUGAAAACUUGGUCUCCAACCUUAGACAAAUUGAAUAAUUAAUAUGUCCUCUCCUGCUUCUUCUGUAACUGAAUUUGCAUUGGGAAGCAGGCCUGUCACUCUCAGACUUUGUGGUUUGAGUAGGGCUCACUUCAGCACCACCUUUUCCUCUUCUCAGCCCCACGGACUGGCAUGAGACUCAGGCCUGGCCAACUGAAUGUCACACACCUAUGACCAUCAGUUGGCUCAGAGAUGGACUCAGGACACCAUCACAGCCAAUGAAACCCUGUUAGGGAAAUUUGUCAGAACCAUACAAAGAAAUAGCUCCACUUUUCCAUAGAGAUGAGACAUAAGCCUGGACUAACUGGUGUCCAAUUUGCCAUCAAGAGAGCAUCUGAGAAGACAGAGGAAAACUGGGGAAAGCGAAGUCUAAGGAAGGUGAGUAAGGACAAGUCCAGUUGAUAUUACAUGAAUCACCUGGACCUGGAAAUCAAGGCAUUGCUGGAUUCAAGGCCAAGAAAAAUUGGAAGCUGGCUUGAAUCAGGUUCUAUCACUUGCAGUUGAAAAGGUCCAGACUAAUAUGAUAACAAAGGAGCAAGUAAGCAAGAUUCUGCCCUACAGUAAGUGCUCAAUGCAUGUCAGCUGGUAUUAUUAUUAUACAGACUUCUAUUUCUAGCCCUUUUAUUUCUACCACCUCUCUUCUGUGUUUUAUGUAAAGUGCAUAAGGAUUGUUCUGUUUGGAAACAUCAAACCAUAUAAAAUGACACCAGCAGGUCCCUUUCUGUCUGUCAGUGUCCACAAGCUCAACAACCAGGAUCAGCAGACAAAAACAGCUAAGCUGGAGUCAGUGUUUUUAUGAAGAAACAGGAAAAGAACUUACUUGGGAACUGUAGCUCAUCCUCCAAUAUUCUCCAUCCUAUCACUCUUUUCAUGACAGUUUCUUCUUGGCCCUGAAGUUGCCUUGUCAUGGCUCCCUGCCUCUGUCCUUUCUCUGUCUCACUUACAUCUUCCAAUGAGGAAUACAGCAAGACCUUUGGAUGAGGACCUCCAAAGGUCCUCAGUAUCCUUAGGACACUCGGUGCAGAACUAGAGGGACUGAGAGGAGGAGCUUUUGCAGGUUAAAUGACUAGUGAAUGGCCUUUCCUUAUAUUUCCAUUAGAAAUGGGAUUAGCUACACCUGAGAAGGAAUGACUUUGGAACAACUGAUCCCUAGCUUUCCAAAAUAUGAGAAAUUGAGAUGCAGGGAGUAGUAAGCACCUAGUUAAUGAGUCAAAGCAUAUUUAUAAAGUUCACAGGGUACAUAGCAUAUAGCAGCUGUUCUCUAUCUCAGUUGAGUUUUGACUAGGAAAUGGGCUUAGGAUAAAACACAUAGGCUUUUGAGUAAUCAUUUGUAAGAAAUUGUAGAUAGUGACCACAGUUUAAUAGCAUUAGAUAAAUUAUGAAAAGUCACUGAAAUACCUUCUCUGGAAAAUGUUAGAAGCUCAAGUACAAUGGCUUAGUUAAAGGCAGGUGGGGGAGAAACUUGAAGAAUGUGGUCCAGUACAAGAAUACCCCAUUUUUCCCCUAAGGCAAUGAAAAUGACAUGAAGUAAUCAUAGUUAUUUAUACAGGAACAAUUUAGGAGACUUAGAAUAUUCACUUCUUUUGCCUUCUAGCUGAGCAUCAAAAUUCUCUCUCUGUCUCUGCCUCUCUCUCUCUAUUUUCCACUUCUAGCUCCAACUAUUUUAAAUCCCUCCCCCAAUAGAACUCAUAACAAACAUAAAACAACAUUUGUUGUAUGUUUACAAUAGAUGUUCAAGCUAAUAUUUAUGUAGGCUUAGCCCUGGCAUUAAAUUAAGGUUUGGUUCACCAACAGGGUGCCUAGAGACUUCACCUCUAUUUCCAUGAGGGACUGAACAGCCUCUUGAGAAGGGACUCAUCAAAAUGGAAGAGUUGGCAAUAAGAAGUUUGGCUAAAUAACCAAGCACUGAAGUUGCAGAGGAGAAAGGAUUUGAAAGGCAGUACAGUGUCCAGGGGCAAGUUGGCAAUUUUUAGCAGGAGGUGAAGUGAUGCCAGCAGAGGUAACAGUGCUCAGAGGGACCAGUAGUCCCCAGGAGGAGCAGGGGAAUCCCCAGUGGAUCUGAUUUGUUCAAGAGCACAUGUGAGAUUAUCAGCUGGCGUUACAAUUUUGGAGUGGCAGUGAGAAGCAGUGAAUUUGAGGUCACUCAAUUUGCAGACCCCAAAGGGUGAAAUGUUGAGAAACAUGAGUUACACAUGUAUUUAACAGCUCUUGUGUAUUAUCACAAAUCCUAUUUCACCUCUCAUGCCCCCGAGGCUUUGGUGUCCAGUUCUCUGAAGACUUCAUCAAUCCUCAGCCAUAAAUCACCUGAGAGCAACUCACCUUGCUUCAUACUAUGAAGCUCCCUGAUGUCACAGCAUGGCAGGCCUGUGGCAACCCCUCAACACUUAUGCAUGAUCCCAAACAGCUAGAGGAUUAACACCUACGGUGUAACCCUUGACCAGCAGGAAAUGGAAAUUACUGUCUUUUUGUCCCCGCAGGUGAAUGGUUCUAAAAUGCAUUUUAUAAGCCUUCUGAAAUAGUCCCACAGGUCAAGCACCUACUUGCUCCAGUGGUGACCAACUCAAUGAUGCAUCCUUGGGUUGACUCUCCCUCCUUUCCAGUUCACUUUCCCCGCCCCUCACUCCUGCACCUCAGCAUCACAUUCCUGAAUAAACCACUCACACAUCUGUCUUAUUUCAGACUCUGUUUGGGGGAAUCCACAAUAAAAAUUUGUCAUUUUGAGUUAAACAUUGCUCUCACCUUGAAGACAUAUUUCCAUACCUAGAGAUUUCUGAAGUUCUCUCCCUUUUCCUAUCAUCUCCUUUGUGCUUUGUCUGACCUCCAUGUUACAGAGCCCCAUGAUAUUUAGAGCCAGUACUGCUAGGGAAGUAGUUCAGUUGUGUUUUAAAUGGUUCAGCAACUUGUAACAUCAACUGAGAACCAGAGGAAUACACUUGGAGGCCAAGAAAAAAAUGUUAGCUAAUAUGUACCAUACAGUAUGAUUCCUUGGGUAAGGGAAAGUAUAUGCAAGUGACAGAGGAAAAUUGAAAGUUGUAGCCCUUUUUUGGACUUUAGAUUUGGAAUUAAAGUUUCUCUUCUCUUGAAAGACCUUCUUUUUGUGGAUAAUGAUGAAUCUGAAGACCAGAACAGUGGGCCAAUUUGCCUUAGUUGAGAGUGGCAAAUAAAUGAAGAACUGAAGAACGUAUCUCUUUAACUAGUGCUCCUUUGUUGAGAAGAUACAAAACAAACAAUUGAAGGGUAUGGAUGAAGCCAUUGGCUUAUUCAUGUCUCUGUUGAUCAUAAUGAGAUUAAUAUAUAUAGGACAUUCACACAAAGAGGAUAUUGACUCGAUGGCUUACAGAUUAUUAGAGUUAGAAAUGUGACCUACUACUAAAGGAAGAAUGUUUCAGGUGUGGAUCUCUGAUUUAAAAAAUACACCACACUUGCCUCAGUGAAGCAAGUCAACUUAGGUGCUGAUACAAUGCCACUGCAGCUGUGCUGAGUUCAUGAAAUCAGAUCCCACUCUCUUCACCUACCCCUACCGUAUUCAUCCUACUUUCCGUCUGCUCUGCCCUUCCCAUUUGGUAACCUAGUCAUGAAACACCUGGCUCUGGGUCCUUCCUUCAGCAUCACUCCACGUUGUACUGCUGGCAUCGCUUUUCUUGGCACAGAACCUCUUAGGGCUGCUAUCCUAGGAGUAGGUGCUACUCAGGCUGGCUUAGUCCCAGGCUUCACUCACUUCUUGGCCCAUGGCCAGGAGGACCGGAAAGAACAAACUCUCUGCACAUCUCUGCAGGUGGCCACAGAGCCCCCAUCUGAGCCUUGCUGAUGGAGAAGAGCAUGCUGCAUCACAAGAUAACUGUGUGGCUCUGUUCAAAAACCUUGUUUAGAAGUUAUUAUUUCUUUUAUUGCAUUAGAAUUUGCCUCACUGUAGCUUUUGUGCUUCUGUCCUGGUUCAGCCUUAGAUAGCAGUGCAGCCUGGUCCAUGUGAAAGCUCUUGCAAUAGGCCUUUCUGCUAGUCAGGAGUUCUCAGACCCAUCCCUACUCUUCACUUUUCUCAAGACUAAUAUCAGACUCCUGGGCUCUUCAAGGUUUCCUCAUAUGAUAAAAGUUCUAAGCCCUCCAUUGUCCUAGUCACUGUCCUCUCUGUUCCAUCCCUGUCUGCCCUUCCAAGAUGCUGCACCUGGAGAUGAAUUUGUCCUUCCUGGGGCAAGUCACCAUGAGAUGAUUACUUUUGGAUCAUACUGAAUUUGUGGGUUAAAUAAACUCAUAGGUCUUUAUCUCAUGCACUAAAUCCAAAUUCGAUCUCUUGCCGUAAAUCAUUUUUUUGAAUAGCUGAACAAUAAGUAAAUAAUACACAAAUGAAAACUAAUCAAUAUUUGAACAUCCUCAGUAUUUUCAGCCCUAGUUUGAGCCAGACAUAGCUCAUCUUGUAUACUUCACUAAGGACACUUUAUACGAUCAAGCAAUUAAUAUUAUGAUGUCAUGUCUCGCAAGCCCCAUAGUGUCACUUCCAGUCUCUUCACCACAAAGAACGUUGAAGCCUUCGUAUUUUUUUGAAAAUCAUAUUUCUAGCUGCAGGAUGGGAUGUAAGAAAAGUUCAGAUUAGGAUUAUUCUAGGCUCCUGACUAUAACUAAAAUCCUGAUUUUUUAUGGAAAGGAAUGAGGAUCAUUCCUUCAAAUUAGAUUUUUGUGAUAAAAAGAAAAAAGUUGGUAAUCUAUUCAAAAUUGUAACAAAAAUAACUGCAUUUUUCUUUGGAAAAUAAUAGUUGAUUCCUUUUUGCUUUUUUUACUUAUGAAUUGGGGUGCAAUAGAGUUUAAUAAAAAUGAUGUGAAACACUCUUAUAAGGCUAAUUUAUCACAUUUGCUUCAAGGAAUUGUCCUUUCUAACAAAAUUGUGAAAUGGAACUGAACAGUAGCAUGAUGAGGCCUCUACCAGGAGGAGGUACAGAACAAGGCAGGAGGUCAGUGGUUAAAGGACUCCUUGCUUAUGCUCAAGAAAUGUGGACCUUAUUAGAGGUGACACAGUGAAAUCAGUCACCUGAUUUCGCAGGUGACUGUGGAGCAAGAAUGCAAAUCCACAAUAUUAGGAUGAAUGUGAGAGGAGAAGGGAAGGAGGCCAUGAGGGAAAAAAGGACAUCUAAUUGGGUCUGAAAGGAAGGGUAGAAUUUAAGUAAAGAGCACUGUGUACAUAUGGGAAUACCAUGUACUUUCUCAUGGAGAGAGGCCUUCUGACAGUCCUGCAUUGAUCCUGCUUCUUUGACCAUCCCUUGUUAGCCAGCAGGUCAUUUGGCCUCACUAGUUGCCUCAGUGCUGAGUGAUAGACUCAGCAGUCCCCAGCCUCUUUGGCACCAGGGACUGGUUUUGUGGAAGAUAAUUUUUCCAUGGAUCAGGGAGAGGAUGGUUUCAGGAGGAUUUAAGUGCAUUACAUUUACUGCGCACUUUAUUUCUAAUAUUAUUACAUUGUAAUCUAUAAUGAAAUAAUUAUACAAUUCACCAUAAUGUAGAAUCAGUGGGUGCCCUGAGCUUGUUUUCCUGCAACUAGAUGGUCCCAUCUGGGGGUGAUGGGAGACAGUGACAGAUCAUCAGGCAUUAGAUUCUCAUAAGGAAUGCACAACCUAGAUUCUUCACAUGUGCAGUUCACCAUGAGGUUCACGCUCCUAUGAGAAGCUAAUGCCUCCGCUUAAACGACACAGGAGAUGGAGCUCAGGUAGUAAUGAGUGAAAUGGGGAGCAGCUGUCAAUACAGAUGAAGCUUUGCUUGCUUGCUUGCCGCUCACCACCUGCUGUGCAGCCUGGUUCCUAACUGGUACUGGUCAGUGGCCUGUGGUUGGGAACUCCUGGUAGACUAACAACAGAACAAAGCCAAGUCUCAAGGAGAGACAGUUGUAUAGAUGCCUUCCUGCCCAUUCUCUGUUGUGGGGGCCAAAUCACACAAGACCUGCAUUUAAUUCUUUAUGGGCUUAGGCUGUGAAUUAAUGUAAAAUCUCAAGAAACCAAGAUGACAGGCCAGGGACUAAAGAGCAAAAGAAAGACCACAGCUAUGGUGGGCGAGGAGACAAAGUCAAUCCCACCGGGACAGAUGGUGAUGACCCUUAUCAGUUCUAUUCUGUCAUCUCAUAAAGGUAAAGACUUGUGUUCUUUUUCUUAGGACAGUCCAGAUGGUAUUGGCUGUGCUUAAAGAAAAUUCAGACAUGUGUGAGUGUGGCUGGAAUUGACAUUCAUGAGGUCUUCCGUUUUUAUUUGAAAGGGGCAGAGUAAGUAUUUGUGAACAUUGGAUGGUGAUGAAGAAAAGGAAAUGGUGUCUAGUAUCCUACCUGGCCUCAUGGACCAAGACUAGAAGGAUUAGAGGCAAAGUCGAAGGAAGCUGCCACCAUAAAGGGUUCUGUGAAUGCUGUUUGGCUGAAAUGUGUGACAAAGCACUGGGAAGGGUUUCAUUGCAUUAGCUCAGGCCAUAGCACGACCCUUAACCAACACCUUAAGGUGAUGGUCCCCUUGGCAUAAAUAUUGGUGUUAAAAUCGAGGUUAACCUUAGUGAUAGUAUGGUUAAGAGUCCCCUGCAUGACUUUGGAAGUUGAAGAUGCUGAUCAGGAGAACUAGAGCAGGAAAGAGAAAAUAUGACUGAGGCUAAGUGGUGACUUGGUAUUGACUGAUAGGUGAACACAGGAAUGAAUUUCAGCGAGAACCCCCAGUAACUGUCUGGGGAGUGGAGACUGUGUAUGAACAGGACAGAAAAAAAAGCAGAUUCGGGUAGUGUCCUGUCGUGUGUCUCUUUUACAGUCCUGAAAUGAAGGACUUUCAGUGUUUUCAUUGAGCACCAAUCAAUUCCCUCUUUACAAAAGACCAUAUUGGAACAGCAUCAAGGUUUAGGGAUAUUAAAGCAAUACAGUGACACUGGAAUGACCACUGAGAACCAGCGAACUUCUUCAGCCCUUAUAUCCUCAGGCACUCUGGAAGCCAUGAAUCUGGUUUUCUUGCUAAACUGUGUGUACUGCACAGAGUACAAUGGUAAAGGAACAAAUAUUGGCUCUAAAAUCUCUUGUAAAGGGAAGGGUGGUCAUCCCUUUAGAUGGCAAAUUGAGUUUCUGUAAUGGGGUUUGCUCUGAUGUUGCAUUUCCACUCAGGCAUCAAGACAUUCUGUUGUUUAAAGCCCUAGAUGGGUGAUAUUUCUUUCAUGUGCAAGGCCCGAAUGCUUCACUGAGCUCUCUCUUACCCACACACACUCAUUUAAACCUUGGUCAAAAUUAUCCUUUAGCAUCUGCAUCUUCUCAGAAGGCGGAAGGGUCAAUGGGGAUAAUCAGGAGAGAUGAGGUGCACUUUCAGAAGUUGGAGCUGAGAAGGUGAUGGAAGUAUCUGUAAAGUCGUUGAACAGCUGCACGAACUAUAGGGGAAGCAUUUCUGGAGGCAAAAGGGGAAUAGCCCUUUCCUCUUAAACCAAAGCGAGCACAGCUCCAAAGGCACUUAGAUGGAGAGUUCAUCGGAAUGUGAGCUCUAAGAGUGGCUGAGAAUCUGACAAAAACAGCCAUCUGCCAACCCAAAAUUAAAACUCCUCUGUUUAGCACCCAGUAGAGAAAGUCAACCAGAUUGACUUCGCAAACAAAGGACCUUAAAAGCAUCACCUAAGAAAGUGUGUCAGGAUCCACAGACAUCCAGAGCAUUCUCUAUGGUUCAUUACUUACAUUAUUCUUAUCUAUUUACACAUAAUGUUUAGAUGUAAAAUCCUUACAAUGAAAAGGGUGUAUAUGCUUUAAAAAAGGCACAACAGGGAUCUAGAACUAGAAAUACCAUUUGACCCAGCCAUCCCAUUACUGGGUAUAUACCCAAAUGAGUAUAAAUCAUGCUGCUAUAAAG